GGUCACUUAGCUCAGUUGGCUAGAGCGCUGCAUUCACAUUGCAGAGGUCAGAGGUUCAAGUCCUCUAGUGACCA
rnacentral:tRNA from 1 species